UAAACCAGUUUAAUGUGUUCUGCACAGACCCUGGCUUUUCUUACGUUUUAUAUAUUGGAAAGCUGUGUUUGUAUUGGACCUGCUGGUUUC
rnacentral:pre_miRNA from 1 species